rnacentral:lncRNA from 1 species
AUCCAACACUGGCACCGCGCGCUCCUUCCAGGGUCGGAGGCCCACAGACCCCUCACGUUCGCUUCUGUCAGGAGUAGCGGCAGAAUUUCGAUAAUUUAUGUCUUUGAUGGAGACUGGGAAGGUAGCCUGGCCGCUGCGCAGGAGAGCUGCGCGGGGUCCAGGAGGGGAGCGCGGAGUGGGAGCAGUCGACUCGGGCUGCGCAGUGCGUGUCGGCUGUCACGGGACACCGGUGAGGACCCUGCACCCAGAGUCGGGGGUCCAGGCUGUUGCUGGAACAGGAGGCAGCUCGGUGUCCACGGUUCCGCAGGGGGCCGCUGUCUGCUUGGAUCUUUCAUCAGGUCCCAGGCAGAGGGUGCGCUCUCUACUCAGCUUCACUCCUUGGGACAGAAGUGUGGCUGCUGAUCCUGGAGUAGGGAAGGAGAAGGAAGCAUUUGCAUGAUUAAAAUAUUUUUUUUUAUCUUGGUAAAAUACACAUAACAUGAAAUGUACCAUGUUAACCAUUUUUAAGUACUAUUUUAAUGUACUAUUCAGUGACAUUAAGUUCAUCGAACAUUGGUGUGCAAUCGUCACCACCAUCCAUUUACAGAAGUCUUUUCAUCUUGAAAGUCUGAAACUUUGUAUCUAUUGAACAACAAUUCCACAUUUCCCCCUUCCCCCAGGCCCUGGCAACCACCAUUCUACUUUGUCUCUAGGAAUUGGACUACUCUAGGUAUCUCAUAUAAGUCUAAUGAAACAGCAUCUGUCCUUUGUGACUGGCUUAUUUCAGGUAGCAUAAUGACCUCAAGGUUCAUCCAUGUAGUAGCAAGUGUCAGAAUGACCCUCCUUUUUAAGGCUGAAUAAUAUUCCAUUGCAUGUCUAUACCACAAUUUGCUUAUCUGUUCAUCCAUCGAUGGACACUGGGUUUGGUUCUACCUCUUAGCUGUUGUGAACAAUGCUACCAUGAACACGGGCGUACAAAUAUCUGUUUGAAAUCCUGCUUUCAGUUCUUUUGUAUAUAUGCCUAGAAAUGGAGUUGAGUUGCUGGAUCAGAUGGUAAUCCUGUGUUGAAUAUUUUGAGGAACGCCAUACUGUUUUCCAUAGUGACAGUUGCAUGAUUUUUAAAAAGUGGCUUACUUUCAACACAUUUUUUAAGGUAAUAUUUUGGACCAAAUGGUUAAUAAGACUGUGGUGACGAGGUGCAAGACUCUGGGAAGAUGGCCAAAAGGCACUGUUCUUUUUCAUUCUUGUUUUCUGUCCCCAGCCCAUGCCCCUGCUGGCAGCCCUGGGCUUGCCAUCCAUCUGGAAGCUAGGAAGGGCUGAGUCACCCAGCAUUCUGGGGCUGGGUGCACCCUUUCUAUAGUGUCUUAGGAGGAUGCAGAAGUAAUGGCUACAGAGCAGCUGCUGAAGGAGGAGGAGGGCUCACGAACUGCUAGAAUUUUAAAGGGCUGCAGCCCCUGAAGUCCUGGGCCCUGUUUUACAGAUAAGGGAACAAAGACUGCUGCAAGGAGAAGCAUGUGGAAGAAGACAGCUCUGAGGAUGCAGAGCCCCAAAGGACGUGCUUGCCAUUCCUGGAGAGGAAUGGCAUCAGGGACCCAGGCCACAUGCAGUGCGGCCAGGGACAGAGCACCACCUGUGCGUGUGGACAUUUCACAUUUUUCCUCCAUGGAAAAAUGUAGGAAACCCUACAGCUUGGGUUUCCUCUGUUACUGAGGCUUCCUCUGUUACUGAGGCUAACUGGGACAUUUGUCUAUUUAGCAUUUAUCUACUAUGUGUUGAAAGAGAGGCGGGUGGGGGAGAAGAUUAGGAAGCCUUUAAACAAAGCUCCAAGUAGAGCUGUCUCGACAUGAUUCAAAACUGCAUCCUUAGAUGCUUGGUGGUAUAAAGGUCUUGCCAAUUCCCAUUACAACACAUAUUGCAACAUGCCUUUCUUCUCGUAAAUGUCUUCUGAAGGUCACUCCAGCCCCUGCCAGUCCCUCUCCCCUUGACUUUCUGCCAGUGCCCAACUGUGAACCCGUAGAGCCAUCUGCUCUCCCCUCCUGCUUACCUGCAACUGAUGGCUGGCCAAGAAGAUAGGAGAGUUAUGCGAUUGGUCAAGGACUGGUGUGAGGUCUCCUGCUGUGCUGCACAUGGGGCUCGGAAUCUGAAGGUGUGACCUUCCCAUUCUUCUGUGACAAACCUGGUGCUGCCCAGCAGAGUGGAAAGAGCAUGUUUUUUUUUGUGAUGAACCUGCCUAACUCCUCACUGCCUAGCAGACAGCAGCUUUGGAAUGUCCAGCAGACACAGUCAAGACUGAACUCACUUCCUUCCUGCAGCCUGCUCCUCCGGCCUCUUCCAAGUCUCCACUGGUGAUACCACCUUCCGCUCCCUCACAGGGGGUCAUGGUGAAUGCCUCAGCUCCUUAACCCCCGUUAUGGAAGGCCUUUGGAAUUCACUCUCCUUUAAUGGGUCUCAUAUUCCCCCCUUUCUUUAUUUAUAUUGGUACUUCCUUAGUUUAAUUCAUCAAGAUCUUGGCCUUUGAAGGAGUUAUUUCCUUUCUGCACUGCCUUUCUUUUGUCUGCCCAGCAAAUCCCACCUGGUCCUCUCCUCCCCUAUCCGUGCUCAACGUCCCUUCCUGGGUGAAGCCUUCCUCACCCAACACAUAGCACUUGGGUUAUGGCCAGUUGAGUCUCCCAGCAGCAGGAGCCUUCAUGUCUCCAAUGGCCUCUGCUCCUAGCACGCCUGCUGGCACCCACAGGUGUUUAUGGAAUUGACUCAGUGUCUAGGAAAAUAUGCAUUUAUUUCAAAAAAUACGUAGUAAAAUAAAAAUUAGAUUCAAGAAAACAUCCCUAUAAAUUUUGGUCUGUGAUAGUGCCAUACACAGUAAUGUUAUCAGAACAUCUGUCAUUGGUCAAGGCUGAGGAGGAAGCUCUGUUUUGAUCAGCAUCUUGGACCACCAGUGAUGAAGACUUUCACUCACUGAAGUCCACAUUCUUUCUGCUGGGGGAAAAUCCAGGUAGCUACAGGCCUCUGUCUGGCAGGGGUGUGCAACGGUGAGUGGUGAGGCAGCAUCCUGACCCAGAGACCAGUUGGUUGCCCUGCACUCUGACAGGGAGGUGGGACCCUGGCCACAUGAAUCGCCUGCCAUGACCCCAGGCCCCCUUCACUGUAUCCCCUGCUGUGUGCUUCCUCUCUGCCUGCUCGCCUGUGCCAGCCCCACUUGGCUUGUGCUCCUGAGACCUCUUCUUCUCUCCUUCAUGCUUUCAACUUGCAGGAAGCUUCCUGCCCGCUCAGUGGUCACCGUAAGAUUGGUUCCCAGAGAGUCAGCCCUUUGGUGGCAAACAGAGGGGCUGGAGGAGGGGAGGGUCUGCUCCCUGCAUUCAGGGCUGCCUCUGCCUGGGACCCACGCUCCUGGGGUCCUGGACUUGCCCUUCACCUCUCCUCUCAUUCUCGCCCCUGGUGGCCCCUCAGCUGCUCCCUGGGUUUUACCCUUGGUACCUGAUAUAGUUCGGCUAUUUCCCCACCCAAAUCUCAUCUUGAAUUCCGACGUGUUGUAAGAGGGACCUGGUGGGAGGCAAUUGAAUUACGAGGGCAGGUCUUUCCCAUGCUGUUCUCUUGAUAGUGAAUAAGUCUCAUGAGAUCUUACAGUAUUGUAAGGGGGAAUUUCCUUGCCCAAUUUCUCCCUCUUUGCCUGCUGCCAUCCACGGAAGACGUGACUUGCUCCACCUUGCCUUCUGCCAUGAUUGUGAGGCUUCCCUUGCCACGUGGAACUGUAAGUCCAAUUAAAACUC